GGGUAAAUGGGCGGGGGGUGAUGAAGGCUGCACACACGAAAUUCCUCCAAGGAACCUCUGUGAGCUUUUCUUUUUUUCCCUCUUUUUUUUCAUCACGCGCGUGCUAAAAAUAGAAACAGGGUUGGAUCGUGAUCCAGAAAUAGAUAGGGGGCAUCACUCCUAUAAAAGGCACACCAUUCAAGAGUACAGUGUGUGCACAGUAGGAAGAACCGAAAAGCACGAGCACAUUUUAAAGCAGAGAACAGUUUUAUUUGGUCUUUUAUUUUCCUGCAUGGUGACACUCCUCAAGCUUGCGUGGUUUGCACAGUUUUGGAGAUGACGACUCAUGCGGAUCAAAUUACGGAAGCACAAAAUGGGAAUGCUGCAAAAACAAACGUUUCCGUGAAGUAGCGGAAAUAGGGAAAGGAGUGACGCACAAACAUUCAGAAGUUCCCCUGCUGGAAUAGAAACACAGUAUGGUAAGUACUACAGUGGAGAUGAGAAAUACCAUAGAUAUUUUGUAGGAAGAAACAUUAUAUUUUAUUUGUACUUAUACUGUAUCAUUACAUUUACAUUUUGUUAUUAAGUUUUACUAAGUAUAUGUUUUGUGUGUGCAGUGUGCAUUUGUAAUUUAUGUUGCAAGUUUGAAUUCUUGUUUUGAUACUUUUUUUUGUCAUGGCCAUGUUGCUGGUGUGUAAAAUGAUAAUUAUUCAUAAUCCUACAUAUGGUACCCUUGCUCGGCAGGCAUGCGUGAAACGGUAGCUAACACAUUUCAUAGGAGGAAAAACAAAUAUUUACUGGCAGUCUGUCCAGGCUUUGUGAAUUUUCAGUGUAGUGCAAGGUUAUAAAAUCCAUGAGUGUUUUUGUCCAGUUUUAAAUUGUGCUGAAUUAAUUUAGGUUUUUUUUGGUUCAAUAUCUAUAGUUUGGAGCUAUCCUUUAAGUUUAAUUUCAUGUAUUUUUGCUAAAGCAAGUCCACACCUUGGAAUGUCUUUCUAUACGUAUGAUGAUUUUUGAUAAUGCAAGUAAAAAACAAGAUUACCAUGAUGCAUCAAACAUGUAAUAGAAAUAAAAUGAUUUCAAAAGGCCUUUAUA